UGGGUAACCUGCCUUAUAGUGGGGGAUAGCCUUUCGAAAGGAAGAUUAAUACCGCAUAAGAUUGUAGUAUCGCAUGAUAUAGCAAUUAAAGGAGCAAUUCGCUAUAAGAUGGACCCGCGUCGCAUUAGCUGGUUGGUGAGGUAAUGGCUCACCAAGGCGACGAUGCGUAGCCGACCUGAGAGGGUGAUCGGCCACAUUGGGACUGAGACACGGCCCAGACUCCUACGGGAGGCAGCAUG
rnacentral:rRNA from 1 species